UACGUAGGUGGCAAGCGUUGUCCGGAUUUAUUGGGUUUAAAGGGUGCGUAGGCGGUCUUUUAAGUCAGUGCUGAAAUACUCCAGCUUAACUGGAGGGGUGGCAUUGAUACUGGGAGACUUGAGUGUAGUCGAGGUAGGCGGAAUUGACGGUGUAGCGGUGAAAUGCUUAGAUAUGACAUAGAACACCAAUUGCGAAGGCAGCUCACUACACAAUCAUUGACGCUGAGGCACGAAAGCGUGGGGAUCAAACAGG
rnacentral:rRNA from 1 species